rnacentral:tRNA from 1 species
GGCUCCAUAGUGUAGUGGUUAGCACAUCUGCUUUACACUCAGAAGGUCCUGGGUUCGCACCCCAGGUGGAGCCA